rnacentral:rRNA from 1 species
GAUGAACGCUGGCGGCGUGCCUAAUACAUGCAAGUCGAGCGAACGGACGAGAAGCUUGCUUCUCUGAUGUUAGCGGCGGACGGGUGAGUAACACGUGGAUAACCUACCUAUAAGACUGGGAUAACUUCGGGAAACCGUAGCUAAUACCGGAUAAUAUUUUGAACCGCAUGGUUCAAAAGUGAAAGACGGUCUUGCUGUCACUUAUAGAUGGAUCCGCGCUGCAUUAGCUAGUUGGUAAGGUAACGGCUUACCAAGGCAACGAUGCAUAGCCGACCUGAGAGGGUGAUCGGCCACCCUGGAACUGAGACACGGUCCAGACGCCUACGGGAGGCAGCAGUAGGGAAUCUUCCGCAAUGGGCGAAAGCCUGACGGAGCAACGCCGCGUGAGUGAUGAAGGUCUUCGGAUCGUAAAACUCUGUUAUUAGGGAAGAACAUAUGUGUAAGUAACUGUGCACAUCUUGACGGUACCUAAUCAGAAAGCCACGGCUAACUACGUG